rnacentral:rRNA from 1 species
UACAGAGGUCUCAAGCGUUUGUUCGGAUUCAUUGGGCGUAAAGGGUGCGUAGGUGGCGCGCUAAGUCAGGUGUGAAAUUUCGGAGCUUAACUCCGAAACUGCAUUUGAUACUGGCGUGCUUGAGGACUGGAGAGGGGACUGGAAUUCAUGGUGUAGCAGUGAAAUGCGUAGAGAUCAUGAGGAAGACCAGUGGCGAAGGCGGGGUCUCUGGACAGUUCCUGACACUGAGGCACGGAAGGCCCAGGGGGAGCGAACGGG